ensembl:lncRNA
UUAAGCAAAGAGAUGUCCCUUGUCAAGCGGAGAAGGAGGAAGAGCUGAAGGCCAUGAUGCAUGACUUGCAAAGCACAUGCAGUGAGAUGCAGCAGAAAGUUGAAGCUCUCAGAUAUGAAUCUGAAAAGCUUCAAGAGGAAAAUUCUAUUUUGAAGUGAAAUUACUACUUUAAACGAAGAAGAUAAGCGUUUCUAACCUGAAAUUAAAUGGAUCUCAGGAAGAACUGUGGCAGAAAAUAGAAACUGUAGAACAGGAAAAAGUGGAAAUUCAGAAGAUGGUUGAAAAUUUAAAGAAACAGAUUUCAGAUUUGAAAAUCAAAAACCAACAGUUGGAUUCAGAAAAUAUAGAACUUAGCCAAAAGAAUUCUCAAAACCAGGAAGAACUGCAAGAACUUAAUCAACGUCUGGCAGAAAUGCUAUGCCAGAAGGAAAAAGAGCCAGGAAACAGUACAGUCAAGGAAUGGGAACAAGAAAAGUCUAAUCUGAAAAAGAGCUAGAACACUAUAAAGUACAGUCUUCCACUUUGGUGUCUUCUCUGGAAGCAGAACUUUCUCAGGUGAAAAUACAGACCCACGUUGUGGAGCAGGAAAACCUCCUUCUCAAAGAUGAACUGGAGAAAACGAAACAACUGCACAGGUGUCCUGACCUCUCAGACUUCCAGCAAAAAAUUUCUAGUGUUCUAAGUUACAACGAAAGACUGCUGAAAGAAAAGAAGCUCUAAGUGAAGAACUAAAUAGCUGCGUGGAAGAGUUGGCAAAAACAAGGCAUUUAGAGCACAAAAUGGCUGCCAUGAAGCAGGAACAGAAAUCUUGGGAGCACCAGAAUGAGACCCUAAAGUCACAGCUGGCAGAGUCGCAAGAAAAGGUUCGGGAUCUAGAAGAUACGCUGCAGAAUAUCAACCUUCAAAUGUCCCAGUCAAAUCUGACCUUCGAGGGACUCAGCAGGAGAAGGAAGCUUUAAAACAAGAAGUAAUAUCUUUACAAAAACACCUUCAGAAUGCUAAUGACAAGAACUGGGCCUCAGAAACAGCCACGCAUCAGGCAGGGCCCCAGAGCCAGCAGAAACAGCUGUCUUGGGAAAAGCCGGGUCACCUGAUGAAUGAGGAGCAGCAACUGCUCUGGCAGGAGAAUGAGAGGCUGCAGAGCGUGGUGCAGAACACCAAAACAGAGCUCUCGCACUCCAGGGAGAAGGUACUGUGAAACCUACAGAGCAAGAAAAGUUGAAUUUAAAGAGAGAGUGUGAACAGUUUCAAAAAGAACCAUCUCCCGCUCAUAGGAAGGUCAGUCAGAUGAAUGCCCUUGAACAAGAAUUAGAAACAAUUCAUUUGGAAAAUGAAGGCCUGAAAAAGAAACAAGUGAAACUGGAUGAGCAGCUAGUGGAGAACUCAGUGGUUGGAAGUAGCAGAGAAGGGUGCGGUUCUCUGCCUGAGAUAGUGUGUGAAGAUGCAGCAUCCGAGGUCCACUGUGAUGCUUAGCCCGUCCCCUCCUUGGGACCUGCAGCCGCUCCAGCAGCAAGCCUGCCCGGUGGUCCCCAGGGAGCAGUUUCUCCAGCUUCAACACCAGCUGCUGCAGGCGGAAAGGAGAAACCAGCACCUGCAGGAGGAACUUGACAACAGGGCCUCUGACACCAACAUGCCACAGGCUUUGCUACCGGAGCAGCGAGCAGUGCAUGCAGAUUCCUACAGAAGGAUUGGGCACCUGUGACACGGGGCUGCUAUGGACGGCACUGGUCCCAUGGCAGACUCAGAGGCUCACAUACACACACACACAGCACACAGGCACACAGAGACAUGAGCUGAGACACCUGGGAGCCAAGCGCUGUGUGCAGGGAUUCCAUCCUUAUUUUUACCGAAGCCUUUGCAGUAUUAUGUCUCAUAUUUAUUUCGGUAGAAAUGACAGGUUUUGUGCAUCAAAUUCACAAACUUCAGCUUGUUACAAAUCAUUAUUUAAAGAGUGUAGAUUCAAGAUGCUUGAAAGGAUGUGUAUUCUAUAUAUUUUCUCAUUCCAUACGUUGUAAUUAUUUUUAACAAAAAGUACUUUUAUAUAUGGAAUUUGAAGAAAAUCAGGGUUAUUUAUAUGGUUUUGUAUAAGAUGUAUAAUAAUUUUUGACAGG